GGCCCUGUGGCUCAGUGAGUAGGGCGCCAGCCCCAUAUACUGAGGGUGGUAGGUUCAAACCCUGCCCCGGCUA
rfam:Otolemur garnettii contig043109, whole genome shotgun sequence.